rnacentral:misc_RNA from 1 species
UCUCCGUUGGUGAACCAGCGGAGGGAUCAUUAACAGAGUUUUACAACUCACAACCCUUCUGCGAACCUACCUAUCGUUGCUCCGGCGGACCCGCCCCAGCGUCCGGUCGGCCCCGCCCGGGCCCGCGUCCUCGACACAGGCGGCCGCCGGACACCACAUAAACCUGUAUCCAACAGCCUCUCUGAAUCCCACGCAAGGCAAAACAAACGAAUCAAAACAUUCAACAAUGGAUCUCUCGGUUCUGGCAAUGCUGAAACACGCAGCAGAUCGGAAACCACC